CCUGGUGACCAUAGCGGAGGGGUCCCACCCGUUCCCAUCCCGAACACGGAAGUUAAGCCCUCCAGCGCCGAUGGUACUGUCCAAUCAGGGCGGGAGAGUAGGUCGUCGCCAGGC
rnacentral:rRNA from 1 species